ACUGCCCCCAGAGGCGUUGCAGAUGUGGCUGCCGUGUCACAUUUGUGUCAUUGGGUGGCAGAGAGAAGAAAGGCUACGUCUACGCUCAGUGUUCUGCCCCGUGAGCAUUUUGAAUGAUUAGUAGUCGGACAUC